rnacentral:misc_RNA from 1 species
CAAAUUUGUACUUAUGCUUCAAGGUCAUCGUAGAUGCCAGCACAUGUCCCGGCCGCCUUCUACCCUUCAAAUAUCAAGUAAUCAGAGUCGAAAUUGUUACCUUUGAUCACUCUUAUCGUGGCUGUCAUAUAUGGGAGUGGAGUGUCGGGCUUCUCCUUCUACGUUUGUGGAAAGUCUUUGUACAAUGUCAUUAGUUUGAAGAUGCAAAUGCCUUAGUGGAAUACCCACCACAGGUGAAGCUGGCUAGAAAUAUGAAUUAGAAAAUAUCGAGGGUGACAGACAUGUGUUGUGAUUGAUUUAAUUUGUGGGUUUUCUAGAAAUUGUUGGAUUUGUGAGAAUAACACGUUGAAUUUUAUUUAAAUUUGGGUCAAGGAAUGAUUUGAGAG